rnacentral:rRNA from 1 species
CCUACGGGAGGCAGCAGUGGGGAAUAUUGCACAAUAGGCGCAAGCCUGAUGCAGCCAUGCCGCGUGUGUGAAGAAGGCCUUCGGGUUGUAAAGCACUUUCAGCGGGGAGGAAGGCGUUAAGGUUAAUAACCUUGGCGAUUGACGUUACCCGCAGAAGAAGCACCGGCUAACUCCGUGCCAGCAGCCGCGGUAAUACGGAGGGUGCAAGCGUUAAUCGGAAUUACUGGGCGUAAAGCGCACGCAGGCGGUCUGUCAAGUCGGAUGUGAAAUCCCCGGGCUCAACCUGGGAACUGCAUUCGAAACUGGCAGGCUAGAGUCUUGUAGAGGGGGGUAGAAUUCCAGGUGUAGCGGUGAAAUGCGUAGAGAUCUGGAGGAAUACCGGUGGCGAAGGCGGCCCCCUGGACAAAGACUGACGCUCAGGUGCGAAAGCGUGGGGAGCAAACAGGAUUAGAUACCCCUGUAGUC